rnacentral:rRNA from 1 species
UCUGGUGACGAUGGCGAAGUGGACACACCUGUUCCCAUCCCGAACACAGCAGUUAAGCACUUCAGCGCCGAUGGUAGUACAAUUGUGCGAGAGUAGGACGUUGCCAGGC